rnacentral:tRNA from 1 species
GGGGAUUUAGCCUAGUGGUUCCGGCGCCUGCUUUGCAAGCAGAAGGUCCCGAGUUCAAUCCCCA